rnacentral:rRNA from 1 species
UACGGAGGGGGCAAGCGCUGUUCGGAAUUACUGGGCGUAAAGGGCGCGCAGGCGGCUGCUCAAGUCAGGCGUGAAAGUCCAGGGCUCAACCCUGGGAUGCCGGUGGAUACUGUCGGGCUCGAGUCCGGAAGAGGAGUGUGGAAUUCCUGGUGUAGCGGUGAAAUGCGCAGAUAUCAGGAGGAACACCAAUGGCGAAGGCAGCACUCUGGGACGUGACUGACGCUGAGACGCGAAAGCGUGGGGAGCAAACAGG